rnacentral:rRNA from 1 species
AGUGAACGCUGGCGGCAGGCCUAACACAUGCAGGUCGAACGGCAGCACGAGAGAGCUUGCUCUCUGGGUGGCGAGUGGCGGACGGGUGAGGAAUGCAUCGGAAUCUGCCCAUUUGUGGGGGAUAACCUCGGGAAACCGGGACUAAUACCGCAUACGACCUACGGGUGAAAGCAGGGGAUCUUCGGACCUUGCGCAGAUGGAUGAGCCGAUGCCGGAUUAGCUAGUUGGAGGGGUAAAGGCCCACCAAGGCGACGAUCCGUAGCUGGUCUGAGAGGAUGAUCAGCCACACUGGGACUGAGACACGGCCCAGACUCCUACGGGAGGCAGCAGUGGGGAAUAUUGGACAAUGGGCGCAAGCCUGAUCCAGCCAUGCCGCGUGUGUGAAGAAGGCCUUCGGGUUGUAAAGCACUUUUGUUGGGAAAGAAAAGCAGCCGGUUAAUACCCGGUUGUCAUGACGGUACCCAAAGAAUAAGCACCGGCUAACUUCGUG